rnacentral:lncRNA from 1 species
UUGAAGAAGUGAAACGAGUCGUUUUGGUGGAGAGAGGCCAUAGGGGUUUCCUAUCCUCAUUCUCAUUCGCAAAAGGAGCUCGAGCUAUUCAUUUGGAGAAGAAAAAGAACCCUCGAGCUAGGGCAAAAAGAAAGAGCGAAGUGAGAGCAACCUUGUGCGACCCUGACCGGUGGAGAAGACCCUAACCGGUGAUGAUAAAGAUGAUCAAAGGGUUGACAUUUGAGAAGAAGGGUUGGUCAUCGGAUGAUGCUCCAAAGCGUGUAGAGCAAGUUUCCUCUUUUCCCUCUUUCAUUUUUUUUUCUCUUUUCUUUUCAGACCCUAUAUAAAGUGGUUUCUGCAAUGUAUAAAGACACUUUCAGACGCUACAAUUCUCCAUUCUGUAGAUUAGGAUUUUUCUGCUUUCGUAGAAGUAGGGUUCUUAGCUACUGGAUUUCACCUUGAAGCUUGCGGGAGUGACAUUGGCGAGUGGUUUGGUGAGUUUGGUAAUAUGGACAUUUCUCGUUCAUAUUAAUAAAGUCAAUUUCGUG